rnacentral:lncRNA from 1 species
GUAUAAGAAAAAGUGAAGCAAAAAUCGGCCAUUAUGGAGGGCAAAAUCUUUACGCUAUUAAUCAAAACAAAUAUGAAGCAUAAAAUUUGUUUAAAAAUGUAAUCAAUAAAAAAUCGAUAUACAGGCCAUGUAUGAGAAGCCAUGAAACUAUAAAUCAAUGAAAUCAAAGUAUGCAACUAUCAUAAACAUCAAAUACAUAAAACUAUGCUUAAAUUAUUACUACCAUAACUAAAAACCAUGUAUAUCAACUCAGGUUAUCCAAGUUGUCUUUUCCAUGACAUUGCGAUAUUAGGGUUUUAUGGUUCACCAUAGGUUUUAAAUGAAAGAUUAGAUUUGUUUCAAUGGUUAUUUAAAAAGUCAUUCCAAGAUUUAAAGAAAUUGUAGAAGGUGCCCCAAGAAGACCUAAUGGUCUUUUCACAGAACACCACAGAAGAACAUUUACUAGAGAGUUCAUACAUCCUUCCUUACCGAUGCGCAAAAAAUGCCCCAGCAUUAAAAAAGUAUGGUUAAUGAUGUUAUAAAAUGAGUUAAGGAAUGUUACAAAUGACAAAGCAUUGAAAAAAUAUGUUUUCUUCGUUUAACGUCAACCAUUUAAUAACCUCAGCUUAUCACCCCUAAACGAAUAGGCAGGAUAAAAGAACUAAUCGAACUGUUAAGAGAACUCUUUCAAAAUUAUGUAAUGAAGCCCAAGAUAACUGGGAUGAGUUAUUAGAACUAGUUUUUUUCGGUCUACAUUCAUGUGUACAAAAAUUGACUAAGUUUACACCAUUUUUUUUAAUGUUCGGCAGAGAAGCCCAAUUAUUUUCAGUUUUACCAUUAAAUUCGAAUAGUUUAAAUCUUAUUGUUGAUACUGUUGAAUUUAAAGCAGAAAAUUGCAAAUUCAAGAGAGAAUAGAUUCAUGCAAUAAAAUUAACGCUGUAGUAGAUAUUAAUAAUUCUAUUGCUCAAACAGAAAUGAAAAAAUAUUAUGCCUCUAAACAGGUAAAAGUAUGUGAAUCAUUUCAUUUAAAACAGGUGACAAAAGUUUUAAUAAAAAAUUACAGAAAAAUUGGUUGUAAAGGAAGUCGAAUGGAACAUGAUUGGCUUGAACCUGCUGAAAUUACAGGUUUUAAACAAAAGGUGCUAUUGUAAAUCGUAAUUAAAGUAAAUAAAGAAAGCUGUUGCUUUAUGUAACAUGAAACCUUGUAUAGAUUAAAUAAUACUUUAUCAGAAGCAGUAACAUUAAAAGAACAUGAUUAUUGUCUUCCAAUAAGUAUUAAAAAGACUAAAAUUAAUGAGAAAAUAAGAAAAGUUACCAAACCUAGAAAGAGAUGUGCAUUAGGCUCUAAAUGUAAUGUUAAAGAUAAAAAAAUCAAACUAAGUAAAGUGGAAAACUUAUCAAUUAAUACAUAUCCUGUAGUUUCUAUUGACAAUCACUUUUUUUUAAACUUAUCAACACAGUCUAUUAAACUAGGCCUUGAUAUUUUAAAAAAUCCGUGUGGCUGGUUAAAUAAUAUUUUGAUAGAUAAUGCCCAAAGCUUCCUUUCAUUUUAGUUUCCUUGUAUUGCCAGGUUUCAAAGUUCAUGUAUUUUUGAUAAAAAUACUUCAGGUGGUUAUAUUCUUUCAGGAAAAUUUGUUCAAAUACUUUAUGUCAAUAAUUCACAUUGGGUACUAAUAAGUAAUGUGUCUUUUUCUACUAAUUUAAACUCUGAUCAAUAUUUUGAUUCUCUUUCAAAGUUUAAAUGAAGAUAUUCCAUUAUUUGUAGACCAAGUUGCUCGAUCAUUAUUAAUUUAUGAAGAUGUUAAUUCAAUAACCUUUAAAGCUAUGAAUUGCCAGACACAAAAUAACGGAAAUGAUUGUGGUUUUUAUCCAUUGCAAAUGCUACUGCUCUAUGUUAUGGAAUUGAUCCAAGUGUAGUUGUCUGGGAAAAUAGCAGUAUGAGACAGCAGUACCUAAAAAAUGUUUUGAGAAAGGCAAACUCGAGAUGUUUCCUUAUAUAACAUUUUUAAAUGGGAUUAAAAUUUGUUCUUCAUCCUUUCUAUGUGAUGGUAACUGUCAUUGUGUUUUGGGAUAAUUUUAAGGCAGGAUAUAUUAUUAUAUUUAUGAUUUUUUAAACGACCAUUGCAUAUGUAUGAUACUGUAAAAUUUUUGAAAUAAAACAAUUUAUAAAUAAA